UACGGGGGGGGCAAGCGUUGUUCGGAAUUACUGGGCGUAAAGGGCUUGUAGGUGGCCAACUAAGUCAGACGUGAAAUCCCUCAGCUUAACUGGGGAACUGCGUCUGAUACUGGAUGGCUUGAGUUUGGGAGAGGGAUGCGGAAUUCCAGGUGUAGCGGUGAAAUGCGUAGAGAUCCGGAAGAACACCGGUGGCGAAGGCGGCCUGCUGGGCAGUUGCUGACACUGAGGCGCGACAGCGUGGGGAGCAAACAGG
rnacentral:rRNA from 1 species